AUUGAACGCUGGCGGCAGGCCUAACACAUGCAAGUCGAGCGAGUGGCGGACGGGUGAGUAAUGUAUGGGAAACUGCCCGAUGGAGGGGGAUAACUACUGGAAACGGUAGCUAAUACCGCAUACUAUCGGAUGAGCCCAUAUGGGAUUAGGUAGUUGGUGGGGUAACGGCUCACCAAGGCGACGAUCCCUAGCUGGUCUGAGAGGAUGACCAGCCACACUGGGACUGAGACACGGUCCAGACUCCUACGGGAGGCAGCAGUGGGGAAUAUUGCGCAAUGGGGGCAACCCUGAUGCAGCCAUGCCGCGUGAAUGAAGAAGGCCUUCGGGUUGUAAAGUUCUUUCGGUAGCGAGGCGUUAACUACAGAAGAAGCACCGGCUAACUCCGUGCCAGCAGCCGCGGUAAUUC
rnacentral:rRNA from 1 species